GUUUUGAGAGGAGAAAACUAUUAGUGGCUGGACCAUUCUGGAGCAGGACAGGAGAACACUUGUAAGUAAAACAUGGAAUAACAUUUUAUCAGACCUGGAUGUGGUCCUAGAGAUGUGUUAUCUAAGGAGAAGGAAAGAUAAUCACACUGUAAGGAGAUCAGGGGCUCAGAUCCCCUUGUAAACGACAGGAGGUUCUUACUGUUGAUUAUGUGGUGUGUGUCUUUGCCUUUGCCUUCAACAUAAGGCUCAUUUCUGAGCUGGAAUGCACUGUGGUAUCCCAGCCACCCCCUCAAGGCUGUCUUUGCUCCAAACAAAGUGGAGGUACCUGUUGUCUCAGCAUGGUGAUGGAAGGUAGUGAAGCGAUCUUGAUUUAGAAGACACUUUUUGUCCAUGAAUGAGGGAAUAAAUAACCAAAACU